GGACCUCCAGUUUUAGACUUCAUCAAGCAAGCCUGGUUUCAUUUCUUCUUGCUUAGCCUGAUGAACCAGUGUGCUGUACACCACUGUUGGAAACACUGGUACAAAGUUCUGGUACAGAACUCUUUCUGAAUAUUAAUCUCCUGUAUUGCUAUGCCAGAAUCAGAUUCUCCAGAGAAAGAACUUCUAUAUGGAAAGAGGCAGAUUGCUGGAAGGAGUAAAUAAUUCACAGACAACUCAUAAGCCCUGAGCUCUGGUCUGUCUCUGCCAAUUAAAUGCUGUGGAACUUUUGGAAAUGAAGAUGAGAUAAAGGCUUUUCAUACCAACAAAAGUGGAAAGAAUUCAUCAUAAGAAGACUUGAGUGAGAAGAAAUGCUAAGAAAGCUCUUCAAGUAGAAGAAAAUGAUACCAGAUGGAAAUCUGGAUCUCCACAAAGGAACAAAAAGUAUUGAGAAUGGGAACUAUCCUAUGUGGACUUUAUUCAUAAUAACCAAUCCUGAGGGAAAAUCUAUAAUGUUCGUCAAAAGAAGGAAAUCCUGGCUGUGCCUAUAAUCACAGCAUUCUGGGAGGCCAAGGCAGGAGGAUCACUUGAGCCCGGGAGUUCAAGACCAGCCUGUGCAACAUAGUGAGAUAUCGUCUCUACAAUUUUUUUUUUAAUUAGCGGGGUGUGUUGACACACACCUGUGGUCCCAGCUACAUGGAAGGCUGAGGUGGAGGAUUGCUUGAGCGCAGGAGGUCAAGGCUGCAGUGGUUUAUGACCACACCAGUCCACUCCAGCCUGGGUGACAGAGCAAGACCCAGUCUCAAAAGAAAAAAGAAGGAAAUCCUGUCAUUCAUGACAUCAUGGAUGAAACUUCAGGGCAUUAUUCUAAGUGAAAUAAGCCAGUCAUAGAAAGACAAAUACUGCAUGAUCUCACUUAGAUGUGUGAUAUGGUCUGGCUCUGUGUUCCCACCCAAAUCUCACCUUGAGUUGUAAUUCCCAUGUGCUGGGGGAGGGACCUCAUGGGAGGUGAUUGAACCAUGGGGCGGUUCCCCUGUGCUGUUCUCAUGAUAGUGAGUGAGUUCUCAUGAAAUCUGAUGAUUUUGUGAGGGGCUUUUCCCCCCUUCGAUCUGCACUUCUCUUGGUCUUCUCCUUCUUGCUGCCAUGUGAAGAAAGACAUGUUUGCUUCCCCUUCUGCCAUGAUUGUAAGUUUUCUGAGGCCAAGCCCUGGGGAACUGUGAGUCAAUUAAACCUCUUUCCUAUAUAAAUUACCCAGUCUCGGGUAUUUCUUCAUAGCUGCGUGAGAACAGACUAAUACAAUGUGGAAUCUAAAAGAGUCAAGUACACAGAAGCAGAGAGUAGCAUGGUGGUUGCCAGAGGCUGCAGGGAGGAGGAAAUGGGGAGCAUUUGACAGGUGGAGCUCCAGUUAAGCAGGAUGACUGUGCUCUAGAGAUCUGCUGUAUAAUGUAAUGACUAUAUUUAGCCAUACUACAUUGUACACUCAACAGUUUGUUAAGAGGGUAGAUAAAAAAUUUGUUAAGAGGGUAGAUCUCAUGAUAAGUCUUCUUACCACAAAAACAAAAACAAAACCAAUGUCCAUUGACAGGAAAAUGGGUAAACAAUUCAUGGAAUAUUCAUACCCUGGAAUACUAUUCAGCAGUAAAAGGAAUGAAACAACUGAUCUAGACCCAACAGUAUGAACAAAUGUCAAACUCACUCUGUUGGGCAAAAGAGCCCAAAUGUAGAAGAACACAUAAUUUCAUGAUUUCAUUCAUAUGAAGUACAAGAAUAGGCUGAAAUAAAGUCAGAUGCAGUGACUUACGCCUGUAAUCUCAGCACUUUGGGAGGCCAAGGUAGGGGAAUUGCUUGAGGCCAGAAGUUCAAGACCAGCCAGAGCAACAUAGUGAGACCCUGCCUCUACAAAAGUUGAAAAAAUAACCAGGCAUGGUGGUGUGUGCCUAUAAUUCUAGCUACUCUGAAGGCUGAGGCAGGAGGAUUACUUGAGGCCAGGAGUUCAAGGCUGCAGUGAGCCAUGAUUGUGCCACUGUACUCCAACCUGGGUGACAGAGCUAGACCCUGUCUCUAAGAAAAAAAAAAAGAAGAAUAGGCUGAAGUGUUCUACAGUGAUAGACUUCAGAACGGUUAUCUGUGGGAGUUGGGGACUGACUGGAAGAGGACAUAAGAGCAAUUUUGGGGAUAAUAGAAAUGUUCCAUGUAUCUUGGUUGCAGUAAUAAUUCUAUGAGGUAUAUAUUUAUCAAACCUCAAUGAAUUGUACACCUAAGAUAUCUGCAUUGCACUUUAUGCAAAUUUAACCUCAAGAAGAAAAAUAAUUUCAACAAUAUCGAACUCUAGUUAAUAGGCUUGCUUUUCUCAGUGGCUUGGCUUAGCAAUUCUAAAACUAUUGUAGAUAUUUCUCUCUGUUGGAGGAAGUAGUUACAAACAUGGAAAGGAGAAAAGACCAUUGCCAAAGCCAGCAUUCUCUGGUAUUUCUUUAAUCCGAAUUUCUUAAAAAAUUCUAGAAUUUGGAAACAUUUUGGACAAAUGGGAAUUCAUUGUAAAAAUAGAUUAGAAUCUUAAUACUUACAUCUUUGAUAUGUCAGUUCUCACUUAACAUUAAUUUCAAGACCAUAUCCUAGAUGUCUAAUAGAUUUUGCUUUACGUUGGAGUUUCCAAAGAAUGCCUUUUAGAAAUCCUUUCCUAUAAAAAGAAACAGUGGUUUUUCAAAAUAUGUACAUAGAACAAAAGGACUUCCCUGUCAAAAUAGGCAGGGUCCUCGGUGAGACCUAAAUAUUCUGCUGUUUCUACUUUAAGCCUCUUAGCUGCGUUUCUGUUUCUAUAGAGCAAGAGCAGAUCCCAGAAAAGUAAUUUUUCUUCCUUUGUUGAAACUUCUUUAUCUGGCAGAAAAUGGUAACUCAUCAAACCUGCAGCAGAAGGCAACUUUUCAACUCUCAGUCAAUUUGAUCAACAUUCAGCAUCCAUCAAAUGAAGGAUUGGGAGUGAUAACCUUAAAAAAUCCUGCUAGGCUGCUGGUUAUUGAUUCUCUGUUCAGCCUGAUGGAUGAAGAUGCAAAGGCAACAAGUGAAAGUGCAAACCUGGCUGCCGGCCUCCUUCAUACCACGUUAGGUUAGGCAGGACUUGUGUCUGAAAAGCACCAUUGUUAGUUUUACCAAAAAUGCACUGCUGUCAUCACGACCAAUCAGAAUGUCACCCUAGCUGGAGAUCUGCUCCUCCUGGCCUUUCCUUGGGAUUUUCAGAAAAGCUCAGAAAACAAUUUACAAUAAAACUUAAUUACUUUUAGCCUGGCUGUUUGCGAUCCACUAUGAUUGGAACUAUUUUGGGGAUGACGUGUGCAAUUUAUGCUAAGAAGAAAACACUAGGUGUGAUAGUAGUAUGAAGGAACUUGUAGGAAGGGUUUAAUUUAUUGUAGAGAUUAAGUUCUUUUUGAGGUCUUUAGAAGCAUUGAUUCAUAUUAAAAUAAUAAAUGUGCUAAUUAUAGUUGAAUCGUUUCAACUCAUUAAGCCAGUACCGCAAGACCUCUCAUUAGCCAUGCGACAUGAGUGGUUAAGAAUGAUUAUGGGUGGUGUCCAAGGACUCCAAUAGUCAAUCAGCUGGUGCACGGCUGGGCUAACCUUGAAUAACAUCACAAAGCAAUAGAUCCUUCUGGCAGCGUCCUUCUCCCUAAAUCCCGCCCCCAGCCCCAUAAGUGUUCAAUGCCCUUAGGUUUUCUGCCUCUUAACACCUCUGAGAGGUUUCCCUGGCCAGUUGCCUUAAGAAGGAUCAAGUUAAUGAGCUGUGCUUUAUGACGGCACUUGCACCAUCCUGUUAUAAUAAUUUAUUUAGAUUUCUAUCCCUACUAGACUGUAAAUUCUAGUCAAUAAUUUUUAUUGAAUUAAUGUAUAAAGAAUGCUAUAAAUAACUUAUACUAGUUUAUCUAAUUCAAAGUCAUUAAAAUUUAAUAAACUAGAUUGGAAGUUCCUGGUAGACAGAGUAAGUAUUAUUUAAGUUGCAGCCCUGGGAUAUAAGACAAUAUCUGACACAAAAUGGUCACUUAACAAAUAGUAAAGAAACAAUGGUGAUGGUCUCUUACCUGCAAAGGAGCAAGCUUUAUGGGAGAUUUUUUUUUUUUUUUUUUUUUUAAGAGAUGGAGUCUUGCCGUGCUGCUUAGACUGGACUUGAACUCCUGGGCUCAAGCAAUCUUCCCACCUCAGCCUCCUGAGUAGCUGGGACUCCAGGUGCAUGCCACUGCACCUUUAUGAGAGAAUUCUGACCUUAGAGGGGGUAGACUAUUAGAUGGGCAUCUUUCCAGUUGCCGUGGGGUUGUGGCCUCUCACUGGGAGCUCCAAAAGGGGAAACAGUCGUGUGAGUGACCCCCUUUAACUCAGACCUAGCAGAGCCAUGGCAAACAGCUGGACGACAGUAGUGAGUCUCCUGUCACUGGAAGUGUCCAAGGAAAGUCAGGUUGCAUCAAAGUUGCUGGACCAGGGUCCCUUUUUGAGUGGAUUACAUGAGCUCCGUGGUUCUGUGGAUGGGGCACUUAUUUACUCCUUCAUUCACAGAGUGACAAAAGUGAACUGUCAUUGUCAUCUGUCCAUGGCUCAGCAUUACCAAAGAAGCAAUGAGAACAUUUUCCAACGCAGAGCGUGAAAUGCUUGUUGCAGCUAGCUGGAAUGCUCAAGCACACAAAUCAAUUUCCAUGUUAAUUAGUAUCUGCUGUACACCGUGAAAAUGGAAAGAGCCACAAAACCAAAGUUACAUAACUAACUUCCAGCUGCAGCCUGUGUCACCUGAAAAUCCUUUUAGUAACUUUGUUCUGAGGAUAUCUUGCCUGUCUGAGAAACUGUGAACAAACAGAUUCAGGUAAACAAUAAGAAAAGAUUUUGAAAUCUCUCUUCCUGUAAGAGGAUGUAAUUUGGCUGCAUGUUGUAUAUUUACUUGAGCUGAUUGAAAGAGGAAAAAAGAAACUCAUCUGGUACCAUGCAAAUCAGCUCAUGAAACAUCCAGAGGGUGUGAUAUUUUUACAAAACAGUCCAGCCAGUUUACACUGUUGAUUUAGGAAAAAAUACAUUCUUUCACCUUCAUUCUAAGUUAAAGGUUUGUUUUGAAAAUGGAAGGAAACUCAUGCUUCACUCAUGCUCCUGUCCAGCAUUGACAUGGAGGCAGUGGAAAAAAGAAAGAAAGGAAGAGGUGAUGAAGGUACCUUUAAAGAUGUGAUGCUGAUCAUGAGGGCGCCGCGGGGAAGAGAGUCUGCUUCCCUCUGUCUCAACCCUCUCUCAGCUUCUUACCACUUCAUCCUCUGCCAGUAGGGACAACAUCUUCCCCAAAACCUUUUUAAGUAGGAGGUUUGAGCAAAGGAUAACUUAGGCACACAUCUGGAGGACUGUGGGGAGUGGUGUGUGUGUGCACUGAGAAUAACCACGUAAACUCUAAGGAUUUUCCAAGUUCUAACAUUUUUAUUUCAUCAGAGAGAGAAGAUUUUCUUAAACGACUGUGAGGACACCAUAGAGGUAUGAGAUAUGGUUUGGCUGUGUCCCCACCCAAAUCUCAUCUUGAUUUAAUUCCCACAUGUUGUGGGAGGGACCCAGUGGGAGAUAAUUGAAUCAUGAGGGCUGCUUCCCGUAUACUGUUCUUGUGGUAGUGAAUAAGUCUCACAGGAUCUGAUGGUUUUAUAAGUGGUUUCUGCUUUGGCUUGGCUCUCAUUCUUUCUCGUCCAUUACCACGUAAGACAUGCCUUUCACCUUCUGCCAUGAUUGUGAGACCUUCCCAGCCACGUGAAACUGCGAGUCCAUUAAACUUCUUUUUUCUUUAUAAAUUACCCAGUCUUGAAAAUGUCUUUAUCAGCAGUAUGAAAACGGACUAAUACAGAAGGCGGGAGGAGGUGACAGGUGUGCACUCCUGUGCUGGACAGGGGGAGAAAUAUGUGCAUGUGGAUGAGAGUGAGUAAGCAUGAAGGAAAACAAAAUAACAAAGAGAAAUGCGUGAUGAUGGUUGGGGAACUUGUGGAGACUGAGAAGAUAAAGGAGAGGACUGGAUGUACAGUUAACCAUUGGACAUCUCUGGGGUUAGGGGCACUGAUCUCCUUGCAGUGGAAAGUCCAUGUAUAACCUUUGACUCUCCCAAACUUAACUAUUAAUAGCCUACUGUCGACCAAAACCUUACUGAAAACAUAAGCAGUUGAUUAAAAACAUAUCUGGGGCUGAGCAUAGUGGCUCACGCCUGUAAUCCCAGCACUUUGGGAGGCCAAGGCGGGCCGAUCACCUGAGGUCAGGAAUUUGAGACCAGCCUGACCAAUAUGACGAUACCCCCAUCUCUACUAAAACUACAAAAAUUAGCCAGGCGUGGUGGCAUGCGCCUGUAAUCCCAGCUACUUGGGAGGCCGAGGCAGGACAAUCACUUGAACCUGGGAGAUGGAGGUUGCAGUGAGCCGAGAUUGCACCAUUGCACUCCAGCCUGGGCAACAAGAGUGAGAAAACAAAACAAAACAAAACAAAAACCAUAUUUGGUAUAUGUAUUAUAUACUGUAUCCUUAUAAUAAAGUAAGCUAGAGAAAAGAAAAUUUUAUUUAAAAAUCAUCAGGAAGAGAAAAUAUAUUUCCUAUUAAGUGGAAGUGGAUUACCAUAAAGGUCUUCAUUCUCAUCAUCUUCAUGUUGAGUAUGCUGAGGAGGAGGAGGAGGAAGAGGAAGAGGAGGGGUUGGUCUUGCUGUCUCAGGGGUGCCAGAGGCAGAAGAAAAUCUGCAUAUAAGUAACGUGUGUUGUUUAAGACUCAACUGUCCAUAGGAAGAACUUUCAUAUUUGGAAUUGUCUCACUUGAUUACGGAGAUUGAGAAGUCCCAUGAUCUGCCACCUGCAAGCUGGAGAAGCAGGGGAGUGGGUGGAUAAUUCAGCCCAAGUCCAGAGACCAGGGCAGGGGCACUGAGGGCAGGAGAAGAUCUAUGCCCUGGUACUCAGGCUGGAAGGAAAAGGGGUGAAUUCCUCUUUCCUCCAUCUUUUUGUUCUAUCCAGGCUCUCAAGGGAUUGGAUGGUGUCCACUCAUAUGGGGGAGGGCCAUCUCCUUUACUGAGCCCACUAAAUCAAAUGCUAAUCUCAUCUAGAAACACCCUCACAGACAUCCAGAAACAAUGUUUAAUCUGGGCACCCUGUAGUGCAGUCAAGUUGAUAUGUAAAUUUAACCAUCACACCCUCCAACUUGAUUCAGGUCUCUACUCAAAUGUCAUCUCAGACAUUACCUACCAACCCCUAAAAGGGCAACUCCUCUCUCUGCCUGCUCAGUCACAGUCUAGCUCCCUAAUAUGCCUUCUUCAUAACACGUCACUACCCGAUACUAUGUUAUGUGUUGAAUGAUUGUCUGCCUCCUUUACUACAGAGGCAGGUCCAUGAGGCAAAGAC
rnacentral:lncRNA from 10 species